UACGGAGGGUGCGAGCGUUAAUCGGAAUUACUGGGCGUAAAGGGCGCGUAGGCGGCCUUCUAAGUCAGACGUGAAAUCCCUCGGCUCAACCGGGGAACUGCGUCUGAGACUGGAAGGCUUGAAUCCGGGAGAGGGAUGUGGAAUUCCAGGUGUAGCGGUGAAAUGCGUAGAUAUCUGGAGGAACGCCGGUGGCGAAGGCGACAUCCUGGACCGGUAUUGACGCUGAGGCGCGAAAGCCAGGGGAGCAAAC
rnacentral:rRNA from 1 species